rnacentral:rRNA from 1 species
UGCCAGCAGCCGCGGUAAUACGGAGGGUGCAAACGUUGUUCGGAAUUACUGGGCAUAAAGAGCAUGUAGGCGGCCUAUUAAGUCGGAUGUGAAAUCCCUCGGCUCAACCGGGGAACUACAUUCGAUACUGGUAGGCUUGAGGAUGAUAGGGGUGAGUGGAACUCCAGGUGGAGCGGUGAAAUGCGUAGAUAUCUGGAGGAACACCGGUGGCGAAAGCGGCUCACUGGAUCAUCACUGACGCUGAGAUGCGAAAGCCAGGGGAGCGAACGGGAUUAGAUA